GAUGAACGCUGACAGAAUGCUUAACACAUCAGCAAUUGAUUGGUGGCGGACGGGUGAGUAACGAGUAAAGAACUUGCCUCACAGCUCGGGACAACAUUUGGAAACGAAUGCUAAUACCUAAUACUGUGAGAGAGCUUUGCGUCCCAUUAGCUAGUUGGAGAGGUAACGGCUCACCAAGGCGAUGAUGGUUAACCGGCCGGAGAGGGUGAUCGGCCCCAAUUCAACUGACAACCAUCCGUUACUCCUACUGGAGGCAUCAGUGGGGAAUAUUGAACAAUGGACCAAAGUCUGAUCCAGCAAUUCUGUGUACACGAUGAAGUUUUCGGAAUGUAAAGUGCUUUCAGUUGGGAAGCGGUACCAACAGAAGAAGGGACGGCUAAAUACGUGCCAGCAGCCGCGGUAAUAC
rnacentral:rRNA from 1 species